AUCAUAUUUCAUUAUUAUAAUAAAACUGCUCCAUUUGGAGUCAAAAUUACACAAUUUAAUAGUUGUGUUUUAUUGAUUUUAUACUGUGCACCUUGGUAGAAUGUUAUGAUGCACAAUGGUAGAAUGUGAUGAUGCACCUUGGUAGAAUGUUAUGAUGCACAAGGUAGAAUGUGAUGAUGCACAAUGGUAGAAUGUGCUGAUGCACAAUGGUAGAAUGUGCUGAUGCACAAUGGUAGAAUGUGAUGAUGCACAAUGGUAGAAUGUGAGGAUGCACAAUGGUAGAAUGUGCUGAUGCACAAUGGUAGAAUGUGAUGAUGCACAAUGGUAGAAUGUGAGGAUGCACAAUGGUAGAAUGUGAUGAUGCACAGGGUGAAUGUCAUGGCUGAAGGCUCCAUUGUGCCGUAGCCUCCUGUAGGGAUAUCAGGAGUGUUUUAGAGCCAGAGUCCCUUUCAAGAGGUAGAAAACCCAUUUGGCACACUUUGGGUAUCCAAGUGGUCCAGAUGGAGAGUCCUCCUGGUCCUAUCCUGACUAAAACCUUUAUAGAAUCUAUGUGCUUUGUGUUAUUUCUAUCUGCUUUGGCUCAGUUGUAGUCGAGGAGUUGCUGAAUGAAUUCAGAGGCGUCUCUGUGCACGGCAUCAUUUAUAUAAUGGUGUUAUCCACUGUCUGAUCUAGAGAACAUUUUAAACAGUUUCCUUUGGUUCAUCCCAGUUUACUCAGGCAUAGUAACAAUCACAGUGUUACUGACAUGGGGAUGAAUCCUCUGAGGUCUUACCUAUCCAUAGAGACCAGAUCAAGCAGAUAGACCUGCUAGUUGUGGAGCUAUUCUUCAGUUAUCUUGGGUCGGUCUGUCUAGGAGAACCACACCUUCCAGCACCUAUAGGGCUGCAGAGGUUCAGCAGCUGACUGAAACGUGGCCCCUCCUCGCUGCACAUGAUUUCUAUUGGAUUCUACCAGGCCUCUGUCUUGUUAGUGAAGCUGUUGUAUCUUUUCCAUCAGUAAACCAGCAGACUGGGAUGUCCCAAAGCAAUCCGCGGGAUCAGGAUCAGGACCGACUGAGGUGUUUUUUAAUGGAUCUGUAUCGGCUGUAUGAAGAUGGAUCCAUUUCUGAUCCUCUGUUUAUUGUAACCUAAUCCACUGUGGCUCUCACACGGCUGUCAGGAACACUCGCUUCUAACGCAAAGUGAGUGAAACUCAGGCCGACCAAACAGCAGCCUGCGGGUCCAGUUAACGUCCACGCUGACAGCAAGAAGAGAGCUGCUGGGGGUUAAAAGAUGCUCUGAUCCUCAGAAGAAGCUCACUUCUAAAGUGCUCUCUGUCCAACACUAUUAAAUGUAUGAAGAGUUAUUCACCCGACUGUCCACAAUGGAAUGACAAACGUGUGUGAGAUCACACCACAUUCUGAUUAUUCAGUCUGACAUCAGGUUUAUUCCAGUAA